CGUCUAUCAUGCAAAUAAAUAUAUAUAUAACAUAAUAUAAUAGUGUGGACGAUAAUAGACUUUUACUAUCUAGUCUUCCCGAGCCAUAAGGAAGACUAGUUGGUCAAUUCCUAGAAAGUAUAGCAUUGAACAGUAUCAAUGCACCAUCUCCAUGGUCUCCUCCUCUUCUUGUCUCUUCAAUUAGUCCAAUUGCAACCUGUAUCCUAUACUUGUUGGCACGCAGGCCUAAAUGAAAUUGGACUCGCAGGCCCACAGCAAUAAUAAUAAUAAUAGACUCGCAGGUCCAAAAUGAUCAAGAGCUCGCAGGUCCAGAAUAAUAAUAAUAAUAACAGGCUCGUAGGCCUAAAACAAUUAAGAGCUCGCAGGCCCAGAAAACAACAAGACUAAAAAUUAACCAUUCAACAUAUCCAUAUGGUCGAGUCCAUAAUCGUCCACUAAUAAUACAUUCAUCACAUAAAUGUAUACCUAUAUAACAUCUAAGUUUCAAGUUUCUGGCAAUUAAGUCGUCUAAACUCUUUUAAACAAAAGGAUCGAAACAAUUAAAUAAUUAAUUAAUCAUAUUAACCAAUUAUUUAAUUAGCGAGCAUAUUUAAUUAAAAUCUAAUUUUAAUUAAAUACCAAAUUAGAGUCCAACUCUAAUUCAAUAAUUAUAUGACGGGAUUAUUUAAUUAAAAUCAAAUUUUAAUUAAAAAUCAAAUUAGAGCCAAACUCUAAUUUCACAAUUUAAGGCAGUGAAAUUUAAUUAAAAUCAAAUUUUAAUUAAAUUAC
rnacentral:lncRNA from 1 species